rnacentral:tRNA from 1 species
GAGCUGGAGCUCAGUGGUAAAGUGCUUGCCUCACAUGUGUGAGGCACUGGGUUCAAUCCUCAGCACCACA